GGUCCUUUGGGCUAGUUAUUUUCUUGAUGCCUGCCACAGGCUUGAAAUGUGGUGAUGGUAGUCCACAGAACUAGCCACUUUGUUAUCCUUUGCAUGGAUGGUUGUAGUAGUUCACAGGACUAGCUACUUUUUUUGCCUUAUCAUGGGCUUGAUAUAUAAUCAUGGUAGUCUAGAGCCGAGCACCUUAAUAUGAUCAGAUUCAAUGUGUGUUUUCUUGAGAUAAUUAUAAGAUGUGAUUUAUUGUACAAAAAGAU
rnacentral:lncRNA from 1 species